UGGCCUACGGGGGGCAGCAGUGGGGAAUAUUGCACAAUGGGGGAAACCCUGAUGCAGCAACGCCGCGUGGGUGAAGGAGCGUUUCGGCGCGUAAAGCCCUGUCAGCGGGGAAGAAGAAAGACGGUACCCGACCAAGAAGCCCCGGCUAACUACGUGCCAGCAGCCGCGGUAAUACGUAGGUGGCGAGCGUUAUCCGGAAUUAUUGGGCGUAACGGGUGCGCAGGCGGCAAGAAAAGCUUAAGGUGAAAGCGUGGGGCUCAAACCCAUAA
rnacentral:rRNA from 1 species